rnacentral:rRNA from 1 species
GAUCCAGCAAUGCCGCGUGCAGGAAGAAGGCCUUCGGGUUGUAAACUGCUUUUGUACGGAACGAAACGGUCUGGGUUAAUACCCUGGGCUAAUGACGGUACCGUAAGAAUAAGCACCGGCUAACUACGUGCCAGCAGCCGCGGUAAUACGUAGGGUGCAAGCGUUAAUCGGAAUUACUGGGCGUAAAGCGUGCGCAGGCGGUUUUGUAAGACAGGCGUGAAAUCCCCGGGCUCAACCUGGGAAUUGCGCUUGUGACUGCAAGGCUGGAGUGCGGCAGAGGGGGAUGGAAUUCCGCGUGUAGCAGUGAAAUGCGUAGAUAUGCGGAGGAACACCGAUGGCGAAGGCAAUCCCCUGGGCCUGCACUGACGCUCAUGCACGAAAGCGUGGGGAGCAAACAGGAUUAGAUACCCUGGUAGUCCACGCCCUAAACGAUGUCAACUGGUUGUUGGGAAUUUACUUUCUCAGUAACGAAGCUAACGCGUGAAUUGACCGCGUGGGGAGUAC